rnacentral:rRNA from 1 species
UGAGGAAUCUUGCGCAAUGGGGGAAACCCUGACGCAGCAACGCCGCGUGAGUGAGGAAGGUCUUCGGAUCGUAAAGCUCUGUCAGUUGGAAAGAAAUGUCUGAGAGUCAAUCCCUUUCAGGCUUGACGGUACCAACAGAGGAAGCACCGGCUAACUCCGUGCCAGCAGCCGCGGUAAUACGGGGGGUACAAGCGUUGUUCGGAAUUAUUGGGCGUAAAGAGCGUGUAGGCGGCCGGAUAUGUCAGAUGUGAAAGCCCCGGGCUUAACCCGGGAAGUGCAUUUGAAACUGUCCGGCUCGAGUAGGGGAGAGGGAAGUGGAAUUCCUGGUGUAGAGGUGAAAUUCGUAGAUAUCAGGAGGGACACCGGUGGCGAAGGCGACUUCCUGGCCCUAUACUGACGCUGAGACGCGAGAGCGUGGGUAGCAAACAG